rnacentral:rRNA from 1 species
UACGUAGGGUGCAGGCGUUAAUCGGAAUUACUGGGCGUAAAGCGUGCGCAGGCGGUUUGCUAAGACAGGUGUGAAAUCCCCGGGCUUAACCUGGGAACUGCGCUUGUAACUGGCAAGCUAGAGUGUGGCAGAGGGGGGUGGAAUUCCACGUGUAGCAGUGAAAUGCGUAGAGAUGUGGAGGAAUACCGAUGGCGAAGGCAGCCCCCUGGGAUAACACUGACGCUCAGGGACGAAAGCUAGGGGAGCGAAUGGG